rnacentral:rRNA from 1 species
UGGGGAAUUUUGGACAAUGGGGGCAACCCUGAUCCAGCAAUGCCGCGUGUGUGAAGAAGGCCUUCGGGUUGUAAAGCACUUUUGUCCGGAAAGAAAACGCCGUGGUUAAUACCCGUGGCGGAUGACGGUACCGGAAGAAUAAGCACCGGCUAACUACGUGCCAGCAGCCGCGGUAAUACGUAGGGUGCAAGCGUUAAUCGGAAUUACUGGGCGUAAAGCGUGCGCAGGCGGUCCGCUAAGACAGAUGUGAAAUCCCCGGGCUUAACCUGGGAACUGCAUUUGUGACUGGCGGGCUAGAGUAUGGCAGAGGGGGGUAGAAUUCCACGUGUAGCAGUGAAAUGCGUAGAGAUGUGGAGGAAUACCGAUGGCGAAGGCAGCCCCCUGGGCCAAUACUGACGCUCAUGCACGAAAGCGUGGGGAGCAAACAGGAUUAGAUACCCUGGUAGUCCACGCCUAACGAUGUCACUAGUUGUGGGGAUUCAUUCCUUAGUAACGUAGCUACGCGUGAAGUUGACCGCCUGGGAGUACGGUCGCAA